rnacentral:rRNA from 1 species
CACGUAGGGUGCGAGCGUUGUCCGGAAUUAUUGGGCGUAAAGAGCUCGUAGGCGGUGUGUCGCGUCGGCCGUGAAAACCUGCAGCUUAACUGUGGGCUUGCGGUCGAUACGGGCAUCACUGGAGUUCGGGCAGGGGAGACUGGAAUUCCCGGUGUAGCGGUGAAAUGCGCAGAUAAUCGGGAACGAAGCACCCGUGGCGAAGGCGGUCCUCUGGGACGGUACUGGACGCUGGAGACGCGAAAGCGUGGGGAGCGAACAGG